CUCAGAUUGAACGCUGGCGGCAUGCUUUACACAUGCAAGUCGAACGGCAGCGCGGGGCAACCUGGCGGCGAGUGGCGAACGGGUGAGUAAUACAUCGGAACGUACCCAGAAGUGGGGGAUAACGUAGCGAAAGUUACGCUAAUACCGCAUACGUUCUACGGAAGAAAGUGGGGGAUCCCAAGACCUCAUGCUUUUGGAGCGGCCGAUGUCUGAUUAGCUAGUUGGUGAGGUAAAGGCUCACCAAGGCGACGAUCAGUAGCUGGUCUGAGAGGACGACCAGCCACACUGGGACUGAGACACGGCCCAGACUCCUACGGGAGGCAGCAGUGGGGAAUUUUGGACAAUGGGCGCAAGCCUGAUCCAGCAAUGCCGCGUGAGUGAAGAAGGCCUUCGGGUUGUAAAGCUCUUUUGUCAGGGAAGAAACGGCUGGGGUUAAUACCCCUGGCUAAUGACGGUACCUGAAGAAUAAGCACCGGCUAACUACGUGCCAGCAGCCGCGGUAAUACGUAGGGUGCAAGCGUUAAUCGGAAUUACUGGGCGUAAAGCGUGCGCAGGCGGUUUUGUAAGUCUGACGUGAAAUCCCCGGGCUCAACCUGGGAAUUGCGUUGGAGACUGCAAGGCUGGAGUCUGGCAGAGGGGGGUAGAAUUCCACGUGUAGCAGUGAAAUGCGUAGAGAUGUGGAGGAACACCGAUGGCGAAGGCAGCCCCCUGGGUCAAGACUACGC
rnacentral:rRNA from 1 species